GAACGCUGGCGGCAUGCCUUACACAUGCAAGUCGAACGGCAGCACGGGAGCAAUCCUGGUGGCGAGUGGCGAACGGGUGAGUAAUAUAUCGGAACGUGCCCAGUAGUGGGGGAUAGCCCGGCGAAAGCCGGAUUAAUACCGCAUGAGACCUGAGGGUGAAAGCGGGGGAUCGCAAGACCUCGCGCUACUGGAGCGGCCGAUAUCAGAUUAGCUAGUUGGUGGGGUAAAGGCCUACCAAGGCAACGAUCUGUAGUUGGUCUGAGAGGACGACCAGCCACACUGGGACUGAGACACGGCCCAGACUCCUACGGGAGGCAGCAGUGGGGAAUUUUGGACAAUGGGCGCAAGCCUGAUCCAGCAAUGCCGCGUGCAGGAUGAAGGCCUUCGGGUUGUAAACUGCUUUUGUACGGAACGAAACGGUGAGCUCUAAUACAGUUUGCUAAUGACGGUACCGUAAGAAUAAGCACCGGCUAACUACGUG
rnacentral:rRNA from 1 species